UUGAUCUAUCUCCACCUGCCUGAGUCCUAAAGCCUAGGGCAGAGCUUCUGGGGAUUGGUGAGGUCAUUAGUGACAUCAGUGGUGGGAGGUGGAGCUAAGGGAAAAGUGUUAUAGGCCAGCUUCCCUCUUCAUCUUAUGAGGUUAGUGCUUGACUCUUCUGUGGGUUAGGCUGGUAUCAGCUUGGUGUAGUUGUUCAGCAGGAGAGGGUCUUUGGAGAGAGAUGCCUCCAUCGGACAGAGAUAAUCGUGGAAGGCUUGGGGAAAGACGGAUUGUUGGAGUCAUGAGAAUGUCUGAACGAGAAGGCGGAGGAGACUUCCUGGAGGAGGUGGACUUUGAGCAGCACUGGGGGGAGGUAAGAGCAAUCUCCAGCCAGCCCCGAUUCACCCACAGAGCCAUCCCAUCCUGCAGCAGCUUCACGUCAGCCUCAGUGCCAAGCCCAAAGACAAACGGGCCUGCAAUGAGCAACCCAUCAAUAUCCUUUAAAGUCCCAUUUUUGGGGAGCAGACGCAGCCCAUUCUCAUAUUUCAUCAUCCUCAGCCCGGGGAUAGACGGCAAUUUUCACGUUGAUGUGGGCCAGCUCAGCAGAUGGACUGUGUUUUAUUUCUCCUGGAUUUGGCUGCGGGACACAAACGAUGUUUCAGGUCACUGACUGUUCACGAGGCCAGAAGCCCCAGAAGAAGAGAUUUUUGGAAGGAGGAAACCAGAAAACCUGGUCUUACUGGGGCCAGUGAAAGGGGGGUGGGCUGGAGGUUUGGGACAUCUCUCUGCCUCCCCUUUGGCCCCCAAGGCCCGGGGGUCCCAGCCCACCUGCUCACUAAGACUCUAUCACCCUCUCCCCAGGGCAGCUCUCUUGCAUACCCAAGGAAAGAUUUCAUAUAAUAAUAAUUGUGGUACUUAUUCAGUACUUACUGCGUGCCGCUGUACUAGGAAGACACGUUCUGUGCCAGCAAGGAGCUUACCGUCUAGAUUAAAGCUCACUUUCAGUCAGUCAGUCAAUUGUAUUUAUCGA
rnacentral:lncRNA from 1 species